rnacentral:misc_RNA from 1 species
GAAAUGCGAUAAGUAAUGUGAAUUGCAGAAUUCAGUGAAUCAUCGAAUCUUUGAACGCACCUUGCGCUCCUUGGUAUUCCGAGGAGCAUGCCUGUUUGAGUGUCAUGGAAUUCUCAACUCUAUUUGCUUUUGUGAAUAGAGCUUGGAUUUGGAGGUUUAUUGCUGGUACUUGUGAUCGGCUCCUUUUGAAUGCAUUAGCUCGAACCUUUGCGGAUCAGCUAUCGGUGUGAUAAUUGUCUACGCCGUUGCAGUGAAGCAUAUCAAUGGGCUCGGCUUCCAAUCGUCCUUUACUGGACAAUGACUUUGACCUUUGACCUCAAAUCAGGUAGGAUUACCCGCUGAACUUAAGC